rnacentral:lncRNA from 1 species
UUAUACCCAACACCAGUCCUCCCACUUUCGAGUUUGGGUUCCGAAUGAAGGAAGUACAGAAAAACUUUCACAAAUGAAGUUGCCUUCCUCGAUUUUCGUACUCGAUUGUUUCCAGAUAUUUUAGCGUUUGAUACGCUGGUGCUGGAGUCUUUUCAAAUCGAGGCGAUCUGAAAAGAUUUUUUCAAAAUUCUCGCUGGAUAGUUGCUUUAGGUAUGGUGCAAUAAUGACUGCAAUGGUCUGGGUAGUGGAGGAGCUCAAAACCUCCUCCGAGAU